rnacentral:tRNA from 1 species
GCGCCCGUAGCUCAGCUGGAUCAGAGCACUUGAUUACGAUUCAAGGGGUCGUGGGUUCGAAUCCUGCCGGGCGCG